rnacentral:tRNA from 1 species
GUCGGUUUGGCCGAGCGGUCUAAGGCGCUGCGUUCAGGUCGCAGUCUCCUUCGGUAGGCGCAGGUUCGAAUCCUGCGGCGGACA